AGAGUUUGAUCAUGGCUCAGGACGAACGCUGGCGGCGUGCUUAACACAUGCAAGUCGAACGCUGAAGCUCCAGCUUGCUGGGGUGGAUGAGUGGCGAACGGGUGAGUAAUACGUGAGUAACCUGCCCUUGACUCUGGGAUAAGCCUGGGAAAACCGGGUCUAAUACUGGAUACGACUUCUCAUCGCAUGGUGGGGUGUGGAAAGGGUUUUACUGGUUUUGGAUGGGCUCACGGCCUAUCAGCUUGUUGGUGGGGUAAUGGCCUACCAAGGCGACGACGGGUAGCCGGCCUGAGAGGGUGACCGGCCACACUGGGACUGAGACACGGCCCAGACUCCUACGGGAGGCAGCAGUGGGGAAUAUUGCACAAUGGGCGCAAGCCUGAUGCAGCGACGCCGCGUGAGGGAUGACGGCCUUCGGGUUGUAAACCUCUUUCAGCAGGGAAGAAGCCACAAGUGACGGUACCUGCAGAAGAAGCGCCGGCUAACUACGUGCCAGCAGCCGCGGUAAUACGUAGGGCGCAAGCGUUGUCCGGAAUUAUUGGGCGUAAAGAGCUCGUAGGCGGUUUGUCGCGUCUGCUGUGAAAGCCCGGGGCUCAACCCCGGGUCUGCAGUGGGUACGGGCAGACUAGAGUGCAGUAGGGGAGACUGGAAUUCCUGGUGUAGCGGUGAAAUGCGCAGAUAUCAGGAGGAACACCGAUGGCGAAGGCAGGUCUCUGGGCUGUUACUGACGCUGAGGAGCGAAAGCAUGGGGAGCGAACAGGAUUAGAUACCCUGGUAGUCCAUGCCGUAAACGUUGGUCUCUAGGUGUGGGGGACAUUCCACGUUCUCCGCGCCGUAGCUAACGCAUUAAG
rnacentral:rRNA from 1 species